rnacentral:rRNA from 1 species
UACGUAGGGUGCAAGCGUUGUCCGGAAUUAUUGGGCGUAAAGAGCUCGUAGGUGGUUCGGUAAGUCGGAUGUGAAAUCUCCAGGCUCAACCUGGAGGGGUCAUUCGAUACUGCCGUGACUAGAGGUCGGUAGGGGAGUGUGGAAUUCCUGGUGGAGCGGUGAAAUGCGCAGAUAUCAGGAGGAACACCCGUAGCGAAGGCGGCACUCUGGGCCGAUACUGACACUGAGGAGCGAGAGCGUGGGGAGCGAACAGG